UUUUUUUUUUAAAAUUUCAGUUGCCAAUUCCGAAUUUUGAGUUGAUAGAAUCGAGAGAGAAAUGAGCGACGAGAUGGUGAAGAAAGAGGCUAUGGAGAUCAUAGCUGAAUUCGAGGUGCUGCCUCGUCUCGUCGCCUUUGACCUUGAUUAUACUCUCUGGCCCUUCUACUGUGAAUAUCUCUCCAAGUGUGAAAUGCCAUCACUAUAUCCGCAUGCCAAAGGCAUACUGCAUGCUCUCAAGGAUAAAGGUAUUGAUAUCGCUGUUGCCUCUAGAUCACCAACUCCGGAUAAAGCCAACACAUUUCUUGAGAAGUUGGGAAUAAAAUCAUUUUUUGUUGCUCAGGAGAUAUUCUCGAGUUGGACCCACAAGACCGAUCAUUUUCAGAAACUGAAGCAGAGGACUGGUGUUCCAUACAAUGAGAUGCUCUUUUUUGAUGAUGAAGAUCGCAACAUACAAGCAGUAUCGAAAAUGAGUGUUACGAGUAUUUUGGUGGACGAUGGUGUCGAUCUCGGAGCUUUGAGGCAGGGGCUCACUAAGUUCUCUCAAAAUAGGUCGGCAUUGGAAAAGAACAAGCAAAGAUGGCAGAAUUUUUCAAAGAAACCGACUUCUUCAGAAAAUCAGCAAUGAUUUCCCGAUCCAAUUUUAAAGAACUGCGUACCUGCAAUGACAUUUUUCAGCUCUGCAGCCUUCAGCCUCAACUGCUCACCUUCAUCUUCUACAAGAACUCGUCUUAUGGAAUCAGCAACGACGUCCCGGCUAAAAGAACUAUCUUUGUUCCUGGGAACUUCAUAUCCAGCUUGGUUUUCCACUAUCAGCUUAGCAGUGAGUCCUUGGUCUGAUAUAAAGGGGAGAAGAAUUAGUGGGUGACCAUGAGCAAGAGAUUCAAUACAUGUUCCCCAGCCUGAGUGGAAAAAACAUCCUCCGAUUGCUGGAUGGGCGAGUAUUUUUUGUUGAGGCGCCCAACCGAGAACAACGAGACCCUGGCUCUGAGUACGGCUGGCAAAACCAGGAGGCAGUAAAUCUGAGCUAUCCACACCUUGUGGCUUCCUCAGAAUCCAGAGGAAAGCCAUUUGCAGGUUUCAGGCCAGCUUGAGUCGGUUGAUACAUGCUCGCUCUCUUCAGUAAUCGGAGGAAGUAAGCCAACAGGUAAAACUGGCUUCCUAUAUAGUUCUCGAAUUAUAUUCAAGUACUUGCCCUCAAAGUCCUCGCAGCUUCUCACCAAAAUAAAGCUGCUUUCCUCGAUAACCUUUCCUAUACGUUGGCCGCUGGACACUCCCUCCGCAUUCUCCUUCGUGUGUGGUUUGGUGUCGCUUUUUGGACUGGGAAGUUGCUUCCCACCCUUGAGCUCUGCUGGUGACCCCAUGUAGGCCAACAUGUAAGCUGAAGACACGCUGAAAAACGCAGUGCUAACGCCGUACUUGACAGCAACUUCUGAAAUUCUGUAUGCAGCAAAGUCAACAACUAUCAGAUCUGGAAUUGCCUUCUGAAGCAGAUGCUCGAAUGGCUCAGCUAACGUGUCGUAUGCUUUCUUCAGGAACGGCAUUUGUGCAGGCUGGAUAUCUAUGCUGGCCUCACAAUUCUCCGGUAGUCCGUCAACCGGCUGCAUUUGGAUCUCGAGAAGCUCCAUCUUGGCUGCUAAAGAUGAUGGGAUGGGAGGAAGUCUCUGCAGGUUUCGUGGGGUGGAAACAUAUGAAACAAAGAUCCCUUUUGCUGCGAAUUGCUUCGAUAACUCAAAGAAGGGUAACAUGUGGCCAAAUGCCAGCCAUGGAAACA